GUGACUGCGUACCUUUUGUAUAAUGGGUCAGCGACUUAUAUUCUGUAGCAAGGUUAACCGAAUAGGGGAGCCGGAGGGAAACCGAGUCUUAAUUGGGCGUUAAGUUGCAGGGUAUAGACCCGAAACCCGGUGAUCUAGCCAUGGGCAGGUUGAAGGUUGGGUAACACUAACUGGAGGACCGAACCGACUAAUGUUGAAAAAUUAGCGGAUGACCUGUGGCUGGGGGUGAAAGGCCAAUCAAACCGGGAGAUAGCUGGUUCUCCCCGAAAGCUAUUUAGGUAGCGCCUCGUGAAUUCAUCUCCGGGGGUAGAGCACUGUUUCGGCUAGGGGGCCAUCCCGGCUUACCAACCCGAUGCAAACUGCGAAUACCGGAGAAUGUUAUCACGGGAGACACACGGCGGGUGCUAACGUCCGUCGUGAAGAGGGAAACAACCCAGACCGCCAGCUAAGGUCCCAAAGUCAUGGUUAAGUGGGAAACGAUGUGGGAAGGCCCAGACAGCCAGGAUGUUGGCUUAGAAGCAGCCAUCAUUUAAAGAAAGCGUAAUAGCUCACUGGUCGAGUCGGCCUGCGCGGAAGAUGUAACGGGGCUAAACCAUGCACCG
rnacentral:rRNA from 1 species